rnacentral:siRNA from 1 species
CCACUGUCCCUGUCUACUAUC